CGGAAAGUUCUACUACGGCCGUGGACCGAUCCAACUCACCGGAAAUGGCGACUACGGAGCUGCCGGAAAAGCUAUCGGGUUUGACGGAUUAAGAGCUCCGGAAACGGUGGCCAGGGACCCCGUUGUGUCAUUUAAGACUGCCUUGUGGUUUUGGAUGACCUAUGUGCACCCAGUUAUGAACCAAGGUUUUGGUGCAACAAUUCAGAGAAUCAAUGGAGCCAUUGAAUGCGGUGGCAAGCAACCUGCUCAGGUUCAAGCUCGCAACGGAUAUUAUAAGGAUUAUUGCAACAAAUUUGGUGUUGCUCCUGGCCCAAAUCUCUAUUGUUAAGAUGUUUUCGCCGAUACUUCACUGGCUUGUGGAAAUAAUGUGGCGUAAUUUUAUAAUAUAGGGUGGUUUCAUGUAUCGAAAACAAAAUAAAUUGAAGAAAUAAAAGUGUGUUCCUAAUGUGGUGUAAUUUUAUAAAAUAGGGUGGUUUCAUGUACCUAAAACAAAAUAAAUUGAAGAAAUAAAAGGGUGUUGCCGACCAUAUUUUAUUGCUUAUAUGGUUUGUGAUUAAUUAUGCUUCUUGGAGAAACUCCACCUUGAUUUAGCUUUGGCUUUUUUAGGAAAAGCAAUAUGAUAGAUGUUUGUCAGUGAAAAAAGAAACUAACUUUAUACAAAGAGCAAUACUAGCUUUAGUGAUUGAUUGAGUGUCGGAUUGGACACCAACUUUAAGUAACCCAGCUUUUUCAUAACAUAAUAUUUGUAACAUAGGACUUAAAAAAUAUGAUGAAUUAAUAACUUAAUAAAUGUAACAAAUAUUUUGAUAAUAUGUGUAUCAUAAAAAGAAUGUAACAAAGUAUUUGACAACAAUAAUUGGUUCAGAACAAGACAAUGUUUCCAUGGAAUUAUGAGAAGAAUCGUGUUAGAGAUUAGGACAAAGGAAACUGCGCGACAACUUUCGUACCGUAGUAUCACAGUGGCGCCUUUUUUUCAAUCUUUUGCAAUACUAAAUUUUAUUUGGCCUCCUUACUUUCUUAUGUAUUUUCAAUUUAUUAAAUAAAUCAACACAUUUAUAAAGAUGGCUGAUAGCCGGCACCGGGCAGCUUUUAUCGGGGUUGCCAGUAAGCUAAAUCAAUUUUGGAGGAGCAUAAAACUUCAGCUUUAUGAAUAACAUUAUUUUAUUGCAUUUACUCUACUAAUUUUAUGGCUUUGAACCCUUUGUUUGACAAGAAAUAUUUGUGUCGGAUCAUCGCACCACCUCAAUCAUACCAUUUAGAGACUUAUUAUUCUGUCACAUAACCCAAUAGUAUUGGAUUUUUUCCAACAAAUUUAACAUACUAAGAUAGUAGGACAACCUUACAAAAAAAUUUUGAGUUAAUAGUGCUAAAUGGUAUUAUAAUCAAAAGUGGGUCUUGGUAUCUUUUAUUAAAAAUUUUAGAUCUACAUAACCAUUUCUCUAAACCUUGAGGAUGUAGGUAUCUUUUUCCCUAAAGUAAAAGAUUCUCUUAUUAUAAGAUUAAAAUUACUCAUAGUGAUAAUAUUAUAAUCUAUUGACAUUUUUUUUUUCAAUUAGACCAAAUUAUAAUAUUUUUUAUAAUAAGGUAAAGCAGUGCUAAGUCUUUAAACUUCUGAUGAUUUCAAUUUAUUCAAUAAAUAUAUAAUCUCUAACUCUAAUUGAAGAAAAAAAAAAGGUUGAAUUGGGGACAUAUUUAAAAGUAAAAUAAAUAUUGUUUUAUGAAAAAUUAUAAAAAAUUAAGGGGUUUAAGCAAAAAUUUUCGAGGCCUGGGUCCGCCCCCAAAGGAACAGUCACUUUUGGUCAAUUUAAUUUGAAAGUUCCACAAAUAAUAAUGCUAAAUCAAAUUCAGUUGUAAAUGAACAAGAACAAGACGAGAAUUUGGGCGACAAUUAGGGAACAAGAUGAAAUGAAGGUGAGAUGAGAUGAAGAUGAUUUUGAGAAGAAGAGAGAGAUUUGGAAUUUGGGCCGGAUUGUUUUUAAGUUCUGAAAUAUGUUUUAGAGGGUAUAAUGUUAAUAACCAAAUAACAACAUCCUACCGUUGAAACUACUUUUUCAUGUAUACAGCUGAAGUAUCAUAAUGAAAAAAUUUGACACAUGUUGCAAUUGUUUCAAAGUAAUUGAAUCCUAUAUGAUUAUUAUUUUGCAACAAGCUAUAUAUAAACAAUAAUUUACUUAAGGGUGGGCAAUGAGACGAUUUGAUUAGGUAUUGGGCCGAAUCCAAAACUUUAGUUUGGUUCAGUACUGAAUUCUUGAAAAAUCAAUAGGAAUAGAAUUAGAACUAAGAUUUUCGAUUUAGUUUGGUCCUUUAAAUAUUUAUAAAAUUUUUUAAUUUUUUUACAAAAUUUAAUAUUUUUUAUUUAAUUUCUUAUAUUCUCUUAGAUCAUGCUAUGUAGCAUUACUUAAAUAUAAAAUAACGUCAUUUUUUUUCUGCUUCGGUUCUAAUUAUGAGAAUUUAAUUCAAUUUCAUAUUUGUUUUAUCAACUUUUUUUAAAGAAAAUGUCCCUUGAGUUUACCUAUAAGAAAAUAGACAUCGUUCAAGAAUGAAAGUUUAGAAAAUUGACUAGACUUUUCAAGUCUUUAAAAGAUAUUGUUUUAUAUGUAGGUUAUGCUAACUUCUUGCUUACGAGAAUUUUCAAGUCUUUAGAAGAUAUUGUUUCAUAUGUAGGUUAUGCUAACUUGUUGCCUACGUAAACGAGCUAAGGAUACUAUUCCUCGAAAUAAUUAUCCAGAAGAAAAAGUUUGAUCUAUUAAUUAAAAUUAGGGAGAAUGAUGCUCGAUCUAUCUUAUAAUUUAUUUUUACAACUUGAGUUCCAAUGAAAUUUAUUACUCAUUUUGUUCCAACUUUUAAACAGUGACAAAAAAUAUGCAUUAUUAAAGGAUAAAUGAGAACUUUUCACGUACAAUUUUGAUAGAUCUGCAAAAGAAAAAAAAUGAAGAAGAGGAAGUGUUUUUACUGUAAGAAACAAGGCCAUUACAUUAGAGAUUGUUCUGAGAAAAAGAAAUAUGAUAAAGAGAGAAUAUGAGAUGCAGCAGUGGCCUCAGAUGAUUUAUCUGAUGAUGGAUACCAUAGUGCUGACUUGUUGGUAGCCUUAAACAACAACAUUAGAGGUUAUUAGGUCCUUGAUUUAGAUUGUUCCUUUCAUUUGUGUCCUGAUAGAAGUUUUUUUUAUGAGUAUGAAUAUGUGGAUAGUGGUAGAGUUUUGAUGGGAAACAACAAUGUGUGUAAGAUUUUUGGUAUAGGGUUUAUCAAAAUAGAGAUGUUUGAUGGGAUUGUUAUAACUCUAUGUGAUGUGAGACAUACACCUAGGCUAAAGAGGAACUUAAUCUCUUUAGGCAUGCUGGAUAGUACAUGAUACUUCUUCAAAUUUGAAAAUAGUGGUUUAAAGAUUAUGAAAAGGACUGAGAUGGUAAUGAAAGGGAUUAAGAAAAAUGGUCUUUAUAUAUUAGAAGGAUCAUCAGUGCUUGUGUCAACUAUAAUGACAACUAUUUCUGAGCUUGAUAGAACUAUGUUAUGACAUCUUAGACCUGACCAUAUGAGUAUUAGGGGAAUGCAAAAAUUAAGUAUUCAAGGGUUGCUCUGUGGUGACAAAAUAAUUGAGUUAGACUUAUGUGAAAACUGUAUUUUUAGCAAAGCACACAUGUCAAAUUUACUAAAGGGAUGCAUGUGUCUAAACAACCUUUAGACUAUGUGCAUGCUGAUCUUUGAGCGCCUGGUCAGGUCUCUUCUCUAAGUGGUGGAAAGUACUUUAUAUCUGUGAUAAAUGAUUACUCCAGAAAGGUUUGGGUAUAUAUAUUUGAAAACCAAAGAUCAAGUCUUUGAAAAGUUUAAAGUCUUGAAGGCUUUGGUGGAGGCUCAAUAUGGUUUCAAAGUGAAAUGCCUUAGGACAGACAAUGAACUUGAAUUCUGUAAUAAAGAGUUUAAAGUUUUUUUUUUAUCAAGAAUGAGGGAUUAAGAGGCAUAAGACGGUAAGGCUCACCCCUCAGCAAAAUGGCUUAGUUGAAAAGAUGAACAGAACCCUUGUUUAUAAGACAAGAUGCUUAUUGAUCAAUUAUUAAUUACCAAGGAGUUUUUGGGUUGAAGCUAUCUCAACAGCCUGUUAUCUCAUUAAUAGAAGUCCAUCAUCAGCCAUUGGGUUCAAAACUCCAUAAGAAGUCUAGUCUGGAAAACUUGCAAGCUAUAAAUAUCUCAGGGUAUUUGGGCAUCCUACGUAUGUUCAUAUUAGACAAGGGAAGCUUGAUGCACAAGCUGUCAAAUGAGCAUUUGUUCGUUAUAUAGAUGGGGUUAAAGGCUACAGAGUUUGGUGUGGAAAAGCUAAUAAGUGUUUAAUUAUUUAUUCUGUUUAAUGAAGUUGUUGUAAUCAAUAAGUCUGAUCAAGUAACUUCUGAUACUGAUAUUAAUGUAAAUAAGACACUGACUACUGGAGUCAUUAAUCAAGGUGUUAAUAUUGAGGUAGAGUUGUCUAGUGCUCAUAAAGAUGAAGUACAACCAGAAGCUGUUGAAGAUUAUUCUCAAGAUACAGUAGUAAUUGAAGAUGCAGCACCACAAGUUACUGAUCUGCAAUAAUAUCAAUUAGAUAUGGACAUAUAAAGAAGACAUAUCAUACCCCCAAAAAGGUAUGCAUAUACAGACAUAGUUGCAUAUGCAUUGACGAGUGUAGAGGAUGUUUCAAUUGAAAAGCCUAGCAGCUACGCAAAAGCACUAAGUACAACAAUAACUAGAUUAAAGCAAUAAGGGAAGAGAUGGAUUCUCUGGUAAGGAAUCAGACAUGGACAUUGGUUUCUAAUCCAAGAAAUAGGAAAAUUGUCAGCUGCAAAUGGAUAUUCAAGAAGAAUGAGGGUAUUCCAUGUGUUAAAGACUCAAGAUAUAUGGCAAGACUUGUGGCAAGGGGUUUCAAAAUGAGGGGUAUAUUUUAAUGAAAUCUUCUCACAUGCUGUAAAACACAAAUCAAUUAGAACCUUACUUGUUAUGGUGACUUUGCUUCAUGUAGAGCUUGAACAAAUGGAUAUAAAGACUGCCUUCUUACAUGAUAAUCUUGAAGAAAAGAUAUUAAUGUCACAGCCUGAAGGUUUUUAAGUAAAGGGACAUAAGGAUUAUGUAUGUCUUCUGCAUAAGUCUCUAUAUGGCUUGAAAGGGUCUCCUAGGCAAUGUAAGAGAUUUGACCAGUUUAUGAUCUCUAAUGGCUAUUACAAGAGCACAUAUGAUAAUUGUAUCUUGUUGAGUGUUAGAAAAUAUAUAUUUAUAAAGGAGAAAAUCGUCAUUUUACAUUUCAAGUCUUAUUAACACCCUUACUUUUAUGUAUUUUAAGUUUCUUGUGAUUCAAUUAUAUAUGUUUUAUUUUAAUUAAGUAUUUUAUGUAUUUUAGGGACAUCAUGGUCAUUUCACAAUGAACUAGAGAUCAGACGGCAAAACGGACAUCACUUUUGAACUCAGGACAGUCGAAAACCUUAGGAGGAGCAUAAAAGGAAAAAUAUCAUUGUUCACAUGUACGAUAUUAUUCACAUGUACGGUAUUGUUUACGUUACUGUUCACGACACUGUUCACAUAGACGGAUCAAUGACGUGGCAUUGACCGAUGAUGUGGCAUUGACUGACGAGGUGACACGAUUCCAUUGGAGAAAAUUCUUAUGCACUGUUGAUUGGUGACGCGGCAGCAUAUCAGUGGACUAAAAAUCGCGCGUACAGUACAUGCAUAUACACAGGAUUAUUUUCAACCAAACCGUGUCACUAUUCAAACCAGUUGACUGUUCAAACCGUGUGGUCAAACCGUAUCACUGUUCAAACCGCGUGGUCAAACUGCGUACUGUUGACUGAUGACGUGGCGCAAUCCUGAGCGUUCAAACUGUUUUUAAUUCGAUAGCCAUUGUUUACUCAAUGUAUCUAUAAAAAUAGGACCUCUCCCCCCUAUUUUGAUAUCUCUGAAUUCAAUUUUAAGUUCCAUUUUCUAUAAUUCCUUCUCCAUCUUGUAUUUUCUACGUAUUUUAAUAAAUUCUUAUUUUGCUCCUAGUUCAAUUAUGAGUAGUUAAUUUUCUUUCAAGCUUGGGUUGAAGGUGAAGUCUCAACAUAUGUCAUGGGCUUUAUUUGGUAAAUUUAUUUUCUCUUCACCUCUAAUUUUUGUGGAUGUUUUGACUUUUCGUCGACAAAUAAUAAUAAUCUUGUCUAGAUACCGCACUGAUUUUACCGGCUCCCUAGUACAAAGUUAUUAUUAUUUGGUACGAUAAGCUCUUAGCACCAUAUUGAUUAGAGUGUGGUUCAUGAGGUGUGGAUUCCCCCCUCAUGAUUUAAUUGGCAUUAAUAAGAAAUAUUUAGCCCAUGGUGCAUGUUGAUGCGGAUCUAGAUACCCAAGCGCUUCAAUUAUUAUAGUUUCCAUUUUAAUUUAAUUCUGCCAUUUCAAUUUAAAUUUUAAGAUAUUCCAAAUCAUCUUUACCAUAAUUCCAACCACCCAUUUAGAAAAAUUAAUUCUACACACAAUUAAAAUCCACCUCCUCGUGGGAUCGACACUUGUCACCAUUGAUCUAUUCUAAAAUAGAUUCGUGCACUUGCGAGUUCAAUAAAAUUUGUACAACAUGUCUAUCAUAGGAACAUAAGCUCAGGUGGAGCUAUGUAUCUUUUGUUGUAUGUUGAUGAUAUACUCAUUGUUGGUAAAAAUUCUAGUGAUAUUGAGAAACUUAAGAAUUUAUUAAAGGGGGAAUUUGAAAUGAAAGAUCUUGGCAGUGCUAAGAUGAUCCUUGUUAUGGAUAUUCUUAGAGAUAGAGUUGUUGGUACUUUGUUUCUAAGCCAAUCAAGAUAUGUCAGUAAGGAGUUAGAAAAGUAUAUUAUGAUGGAUUCAAAACCUGUAAUGACACUUUUGGGAGCUCAAUUUAAACUCUCUAAUGAUAUGUCUCCAAUAUCAUAUGCUAAGAAAUUCUAUAUUUACUGGCUGUAGGAAGCUUAAUGUAUGCAAUGGCUUGCACCAGAGCAGACAUAGCUUAUGCAGUAAGUGUAGUAAGCAGGUUUAUGAGUAAUCCUGAUAAGCUUUAUUAGGAUGCUAUGAAAUGGGUUAUGAGGUACUUGAAACGUACUUUAGAUCAUGGUCUGGUGUAUGGCAAAUCCAAGCAAGAAGUCUAUGAAGUUAGAGGCUAUGUGGACUCUAAUUUUGCAGGUGACUUAGAUAGGAGAAAUUCUAUCUCUGGAUACCUGUUCAUGCUAGAAAAUUGUCUCAUAAGUUGGAAACUUACUUUACAACACAUAGUAGCUUUGUUAUCUACUGAGGCUGAAUUUUUGCUGCAAUAGAGGCAGUAAAAGAAUCAUUGUGGCCGAGAAGGCUACUGAAUGAAUUUUGGUUGAAACAAAAGACAAUUUAGAUCUUUUGUGAUAAUUAGAGUGCGAUUCAGCUUAUAAAAAAUGAAAUUUAUCGUGGGAGAACCAAACACAUUGAUAUGAAGUUGCACUUUAUCAGAGAUGAGGUCGCAAAAGGGUUUGUUGUAGUAACAAAAAUAUAUACAGAUAUCAACCCUACUGAUAUGUUAACAGAAGUAAUUCCAACAGCCAAAUUUAAGAUUUGUGUAGACUUGAUUGGUAUUGGAAAUGGUUCUAGUUGUUAAGUUGCGUGGUUGAAGGUUUUUUUUUUAAAGCACUUAUGGUCAAGAGUAAUGCUGAAUCAGAUCUGCAAGGUGGAGAGUGUGAGGACAUGAGUUAUGUUUUUGGACUAAAAUGUAAUCGAAUGAAAGUUGUUGGGUAAUGUGCAAAUCGACUUCAAAUGAGGAGUCAAUUUGUAAAUUCUGCGCUAAUGUGGCAAAAAGGUUAAAGGUUGUUAAGGUGUUUCUAGAAAAUUUCCAAAAUAUGAAAGGGCCUGCUGUGCAUUGCUUUGUGUGUGAUUUCUCUUUUGUUUCUUAGCUAAAAAAGGUGAUUCUAGAUUCUUUGGAAUCCUUGAAGUGUCCUCAAAACAAUUGAUCUGAUUGUAAAGCAUUUGAGUAAUGAGAUCUUGUUCAUUUUUCCUUUGAAACUUGGAAGCUUGUUCACUGUGAAUAGUUUUCUAGGUUCUUGUUUGACUGAAUCAUUUUCUGUUCUUGAUUCCAUUCUGUCUUUAAUUGAUCAAAGUUGUGUGAGUUGAUUAAUUUCUUGUUAAUAGCCAUUAAAAUACAACAGGAAAACUACCAAAACCUAACCCGAAAUUCGAAUGUUGCCAAAUCCUGAAUCUAAAUCCAAAUUUCUAAAUGUUGACAAAUCCUAAUCCUAACCCUAAAUCUGAUACUUGUUCAGCUUUGGUGGGAAAAUCUUUUAUAGAAGAUAGUUUUCUUCAUGGUUACGUUGGUGGUCUAUAUGAGGUUCAAACUAUGUGCGUACAAUGAAUUCAAGACCUUUAAUAAGGUUUAAUUUAAAUUUAUAGUGAAAGAUUAUCGUGUCUAUCUAAGGAAGUGAAAUCUUAUACUUCCAUUUGGGAACUAGCUAGCUUAUCGAAACAAGUUUUGAACAAUUUAAUUAUUAAUGUUCAAUUUUGAUGUACUGAUCUCGGAAGUUGGAAUAAUGGAGCACAAUUAAUUAAUUUCCUUGAUAUUUAAUUAGAAUGUGAAAUCUUUAUUUCUCUUUUGGGGAAGCUAAUUUAUUGCUGCAAGUUUUGCAACCUAAAAAUAGGUUCCCUUACUGUUAAAGUAGAUUGUCAAUGAACCGCUGUUAUUAAGUCCAAAAAUCAUAAACAUAAAUUGUAAAAUAAUUUAUUGUAGAUGACAAAAGAUGUAUUGGGCCGGACUCAACAAAGGGUGCGUUUUUUAUUUGGAAUCAGUGGAUGUCCUAUGGAACGCCUCAAGGUCCACUAAACAGCCACACAACUGUUAUGGUAAAAAAUGUUUUCAGGUCAGCGGAAGUUUUUUUGAAUAAUCAAUGGAGGAAAGUAAAAAAUACCCUUAGUUUGUAAGUGAAAUUACUACAUAUUUAUUUUGUUAUAUCAUUUAAGAUCAUGUCUUUUUCUGGUUGACGUGCAAUCUUGGCCAUGAAAUGGGACUCUUUAUUGCUUGAACAAUAGUUGAAAGAACUAAUUACUAAUCACAUGAUUUGUGGUUUAUACCUCCAUCAGCCAGAAUCAUACAAUUGUAAACAACUAUUGUCGUGUAGAAAAAAAUCAAGAAUAAAGUUAAUUUGUAUGUUUUUUUUUUGCCAUAAGAUAUAUAUAUAUAUAUAUAUAACUGAUUUGUUCCUAUAGAUUAUGAUAUGUUUGUAAACAACUUUCAGGUUGAUUUGCAAUUGAAAUAUUGUUCUCGUCUGCCAUAAAUUAAUGGAUUAUUUUUGUUGUUAAUUGACUCGUCUAUGAAAUUAAAGAAAACUGGAAAUACUUUAGAGCCAUAAUUUCUUUAAAAACUAGUUAUUAAUUUGAUAAAUGAUGAACAUUCAAUUCUUUAAUUGGAUAAAACUUAAAGCCUGCAGAUAAUCAUACAUAUUUUAGGCAAUUUUCUUUUGCUCAAAUAUUAUAAUGUGAAUGUGAAUGAUGUGGUGCUCCUAAAACACCCAACGCCCAAGACUUUUUUAUAAUAGAGUAAAUUUAACUUAGACAUGUUUGGCAACGGAGUAAAGUUUGGGGAUUUUGUUAUGUAUGCUCAACUACUUUGUGCACUGAGUUCUAUCAAGGUAAGCACUGUACAGUCCAUUAUCAGACUCAGACAACUAUUAUAGUGUACUCCUCUUUCUUGUCAUAUUUUUCCUUUUCAAACGUAAUUAAAGAAAUUACAUAUUCAAAUGAAAUGACAUACCAAAAGGAGCCUAGUCAUAAGUCCAGCAAGCUUUAUCAUUCAAAGUAGCCCCAAUUGUGAUUUGUCAGAAGGCUUAGAAUGAAGGACAAAAAUCCCAAGAGAAGAGCCUAAUAAAAAAUUAGAGCAAAACAAUAAUUCCAUUGACCGAUAUCAUUUAUAAAAGAACCUUUGAAAAAAAGAAAAUUAUGCACUUUUUAUUUUGGGCGAUACGAGAUGCUUUCCAAACAGCAUGUGUUAAGAAAUCCCAAAAAUUGUACACGUGUAAAAAAUUACUGGCUGAUUCGACGGAUGAGGUUGGCUUUUUGCCCCUUUUUUUUUUUUUUGUCAGGAGGAUGUGGUUGGCUUUUCAUACAAAUAAGGGCAAAUUACCCUAUUUAUAAAUUAGUAAAAGGGACACUUGGAAUCCUUCUAAGUUCAUUUUAAAAAAAAAAAAAAUUCUGAAAAGCUAAUGUUUCUUAUCCGACAAAGAGAACUUUUAUCUUCUUAUCAUGAUUUAUGAAUACUGAUUUUGAUGUUUUCAAUCCAGCUCAGAAAUUUUUUUUCCUUUGAUCAUGAUUCAUGAACAAUGUGUUUGAUGCUUUAACUGUGCAGUUUUCAUCUCCCCAGGUGGAAAGUUUUGAGUAAAAAGUCAUAGAUUUUCUUUGAAUCUUUUAUUAAACUUGUCAAAAGAACAUGCUACCGACAUUACAAAGAAAAUCUGUUUUCUUUUUUUCCCGUUUUUCGGGCAGCCGAAUGCAAUCGAAACAAGUUUCGUACCGUUGUAAACUUGUAUACUUGAUGGUCCCAAUCAGUGGCUGCCUGUUUCUAAUAUCGAAGUAAAAAAAAAAAAGUUAUUUUUCCGAUUGCAGAUAUAUUUAUUUUGAUUAAAAUUGGCUAUCACAAAUAGAUUAAUGCAAAAUUGGUCAUCAUGUGUUUGAUUAAUUUAUCCUAUUUUUCGUUAUUAGUUUUAAGCUUUUCUUUCAAGUUUUUUUUUGGGACAAAAUUUUCAAAUUUUCUAUGGCCAUAAUCAUAUGUUGGGGUUUGUAUCAGAAAAAAGUUUUUAAGUAUUUGUAUGGAAAAAGACAACUUAUCCUACGUGAAAGUUUUAGAAGCUCCUUUGAUCGGUUAGAUUUUUAAUAAGGAUAUUUUCUAAUUAAUUUUAUAAGUAUAUAUAUAAACUUUUUUUUUUCAUGUGGACAGCUUAUUGUUUAUUUCAUAUGCCACGUUAUUGAGUCAUAUGAUUUAAUAAAAUUAGUACAAACAUAUUAUUAAAUUACAUGAUUUUAUAAUAUAUUAAAUAUUGAUUUUAUUAAAACAGAUGAAACCCUUGUACUUGAGAAUGAAAGUUUGUAUACAUUAGGACGUCACCAAAAUAUUUUGAGAUAUUAAAUUGAUUAGUGACACACCAGAAUAUCAAUGCCGAGAAGAGAACGAGAAGAACUAGUGUGGAGAAAAGGGUACAAGAAGAAUUGCUUUCAUUUCAUGGACCCAAAUUUACGCCGCUAAUUGAGAACGGGAGUUAGUGGAAGGCUUGACUUUUCAGUUUCGAAGAUAUACAUAAAUAUUUCAGUAUUUAUAAACGGAAAAUAUUAAAAAAAACUCAGAUGUUUGGACUGAUUAUUAAUUUUUACAUUGUGAUAACUGAUAUCACUAAAAAAAGGAAAAAGAAUUAAGGAAAGAAAGGAAAUUAAGUUAUAAAGAAAUUAGGGUAUAUAUCCUAUAUUUUAAUUUAAAUAUCUUUUUUGUCCACAUAUUUUAAAAAAAAAUGUAAAGACAUCCUAUUUUAAAUAUGUUACGAUCUUCCUCUUAUUUUUUUCUUACCUUUUACAACAAUACUAACAAUAAUAUUUUUGGCAUUAAUUUUUUAUCUAAAAAAAUAAAUAGCAUAUUAACCAAUAUAUUAGAAAAUUAGAAAUAAAUAUCAUUCUACAACAACUAGUAACCAUUUAUGAUAAAUUAAAACCAACUAAUUUAAAGCAAUGUUUAAGCUAAGUUAAUUUUUUGUAAAAAAAAAUUAAUUACCAAAUUAAUCCUAAAAUUAAGAUAACAAAAAAUAGAUAGAGUAAUUUUUAUCUUACUUUUAAGACUAAUUUGAUAAAUUCAUUUUUUUUUUCUUUUCAUUGAAUCUCCAACAAUAUUAUUGUAAGGGUAUUAUUCUAAAAUCAAAGAAAAGAUCAGGGUAGGAAUGUAAUAUAUUUACCAGUAAAGAUGUCUUGAAAUAUUUUCUAAAAUAAAGAGAUUAAAUGGAUACUUAACUGAAAAAUACACAGACCAAAUAAGUAUUUAGCUGAGAAAAUAUGAUACCAUGUUAUUAGUUAUUAAUUAACAAACCUAAAAAAAUUUAAAUCACUCAAAUGAGUACAAACCACAUAUUUUUUUGUUAAAAUUUGUGUAAAGUCUAGUGCAUGUGUAUAUAUAUAAACAAAGUAGGUAGAUAAUUAAAAAUAAACAUGUCUGAGUUUCAAUAUCUGAAAGCUCGAAACAAGUAUGAGUUUAAGAUUUUCCAAUCUACAAUUAAUUCAGUUACAUUAAAAAACAAAUUUCCUCAAAAUUUAUUGAAAAUUAGUUAUUUAAAAUUAUAUUUUGUACAAUUAUUAUUCAAAUUUAAUUUGAAAAAGUUUAAUAUAGAUGGCGGUCAAUCAACAACCCACUCGAAAGAUUUGAUUUAUUUUCUUUUAUUUUAUUUCUAGUUCUUUUGACAAGUCAAGCCAGCUAGAUUUCAAGCCACAACAAAUGCGAAGUCUAGAAAAACCUAACAAGAGAUAAACUCUAUGUUCAAAUUUAUCACAAUUCACCAGCACGUGGCAGACAUAACGUCCAUUUUGCACUCUAUAAAUACCGUACUCCCAUCACCAACAUUUGCAUAUCACUCACAUUUCUCUACUCCUAAACAAAAUGGCUCCACUUAACAUGAAAAAAAAUAUUGUAACCUUUGCUCUUGUGGGCAUUCUUGCCCUAGCUUUUCCCACCAAAGUAAUGUGUCAAAAUGUUGCUAGCAUUGUGACUCCCCAGUUCUUCGACGGCAUAAAGAAUCAGGCAGCCGCGAGUUGUGCCGGCAAGAGCUUCUACACGAGAGAUGCGUUUCUGAAUGCUGCCAAGGCUUAUCCUCAAUUUGGUAGCGGCUCUCCUGAAGUUUCGAAGCGUGAGAUUGCUGCAUUUUUUGCACACGUCACUCAUGAAACUGGACGUAAGUUCUCUCCAUUUUAUUUCUUUUUGCAUGCAAAGUAUUUAUGAGCAAUCCAUGCAUAGAGAAGAAAACGACUUUUCUUUGUUUUAUUAUUUUCAAAACCGUUUUUGAAAUUUUUUAAAACUAUAUCCCCCAAGGUUGGAAUGAACAUAAUCUUUUUAAUUACAUGCUUUAUAUGUAUUAAAUAAUGUUCUCAGUUUGUUGAACACAUAAAAGUUUUCAAUAAAACUAAUUGAAUACUCCAACUUUUAAUUGAUAUGAUUUGCCACUAGCCAAUUAUCUUGAUUAAGCCCGGAGAGAAUUAAUUAGAAAAAAAAAUGUCUGGCUUUUUCAGAUUUGUGCUACAUAGAAGAGAUUAACAAGUCCAACCGGUACUGUGAUGAACAAAACAAACAGUACCCAUGUGUUCCCGGAAAGUUCUACUACGGCCGUGGACCGAUCCAACUCACCGGAAAUGGAAACUACGGAGCUGCCGGAAAAGCCAUCGGGUUUGACGGAUUAAGAGCUCCGGAAACGGUGGCCAAGGACCCCGUUGUGUCAUUUAAGACUGCCUUGUGGUUUUGGAUGACCAAUGUGCACCCAGUUAUGAACCAAGGUUUUGGUGCAACAAUUCAGAGAAUCAAUGGUGCCGUUGAAUGCGGUGGCAAGCAACCUGCUCAGGUUCAAGCUCGCAUUGGAUAUUAUAAGGAUUAUUGCAACAAAUUUGGUGUUGCUCCUGGCCCAAAUCUCUCUUGUUAAAAUGUUUUCGCCGAUACUUCACUGGCUUGUUGAAAUAAUGUGGUGUAAUUUUAUAAUAUAGGGUGGUUUCAUAUACCUAAAACAAAAUAAAUUGAAGUAAUAAAAGGGUGUUGCCGACCAUAUUUUAUUGCUUAUAUGGUUUGUGAUUAAUUAUGCUUCUUGGAGAAACUCCACCUUGAUUUAGCUUUGGCUUUUUUUAGGAAAAGCAAUAUGAUAGAUGUUUGUCAGUGAAAAAAGAAACUAACUUUAUACAACGAGCAAUACUAGCUUUAGUGAUUGAUUGUCGGAUUGGACACCAACUUUAAGUAACCCAGCUUUUUCAUAACAUAAUAUUUGUAACAUACAACUUGAAAAAGAUGAUGAAUUAAUAACUUAAUAAAUGUAACAAAAAUUUUGAUAACAUGUGUAACAUAAAAAGAAGGUAACAAAUUAUUUGUCAACAAUAAUUGGUUCAGAACGAGACAAUUCACUUGCCAAAACAAGACAAUAUUUCCGUGGAAUUAUGCGGAGAAUCGUGUUAGAUAUUAGGACAAAGGAACCUAUGUGACAACUGUUGUACCUUUUUUUGUGAUGCUAAAUUUUAUUCAACCUCCUUACUUUCUUACGUAUUUAUAAUUUAUUAAAUAAAUCAAUAUAUUUAUAAGAUGGCUGAUAGCGGGCACUGGGCAGCUUUUGUUGGGGCUCCCAGUAAGCUAAAUCAACGAAAAUUGUUAGGAAAUUGACUGUGCUAACUUGUUGUUUACGAGACUUUUCAAGUCUUUAAAAGAUAUUGUUUUAUAUGUAGGUUAUGUUAACUUGUUGCUUAGGAGACUUUUUAAGUCUUUAAAAGAUAUUUUUUUCAUGUCUAGGUUAUGCCAACUUAUUGCUUACACGACUUUUGAAGUCCUUAAAAGAUAUUGUUUGAUAUGUAGGCUAUGCUAACUUGUUGCUUGAUUUAUUAAUUAAAAUUAGGGAGAAUGGCAUUCCGUCUAUCUUAUAAUUUAUUUUUGUGACUUGAGUUUCAAAUAAAUUUAUAAUUCAAUUUGUUCCAACUUUUAAACAGUGAAAAAAAUGCAUAACUAAAGGAUAAAUGAGAACUUUUCACAUACAAAUUGACUAUCCAUAAUUAUUAAAAUUAGUUAAUUAUUUAUUGAAGUUUAUAUUUUCUCUUUAACAAUAUUUUUUUCUUAUUAUUGUAACAUAAAGAAAAAUAGAGUCUUAAAAAUUAAACAGUGAUCUAAAUAUAUAAAAAUACAUUCUCAUAAUGACCUAAGUCUAGUCUCUUUUUAAAUAAAUCCUUACUUAAGUAAUAAGGAAACUGAUAUGAUAAAAUUGGAUCUAGUCCAACCACUGGUGCAUUUAUAAGCUAUAGUCGCGUACAAUUAAGACUUAAUUACAUAUAAUACAUAUUAUUUUUUACGUAUGCAAUAACUACCGAUCACCAUAUAUAUUUAAAAAGCUCAGCUAAUCUAAAUUCCCAUAUAUUUUUUUAUAAAAAUUAGAAAACUUGCCUGAAUUUGUCGGAUUAAAUUUCUGGUUACAGUCUCCUCACGCAACUCAGUUAGGCAGUCCAAACAAGAAAAGACAAGCAAAGAAGAAAAUAUUAGCCGACUACAAACUUGACCAGUCAAUUUGGUGAAAAGUAUAUACAAGACUUGAUUGAAUUUAUUAUAUUAAUUAUAGAAAUUAGUCUUCUGAUCUUCUAGACACGAAUUUUUCUAUGAAUUAUCAUUCUAUAUAAAGUGACGUGUAGCUAUUGUAUAACUGCAUGUGAUACAUCAUUUAUGCUCAUUAAUUUGCAUAGAUUUGUGUACUUAAAUUUAGCCAAUACAUUUUCAUGUCACAUUACUGCCACUAAAUCAUUCAUCAAUGAAAAUAGAAAAAGUUAUCCCAACAGGUCGUGGACGUAUCUUGCAAAUUAAUCUUUUACAGAAGAGAUCUUCAGAUCUAAUAAUAUAUCAAGUCUUGCGCAUAUAUAUGGUCUAGAGAAGAUAUUGCAAUUCUAUUAAUGAAAAAUAGGGAAAAAAAAUUAAGGCCGAUAACUCUCUUCAUGUAAAUUCAAUAUUGUUUUGUCCUUGUUUCCUUUUUGUUAUAAUUAUUAUUUGAUUGCUCAUGUGUAAUUGAAAAUUCAUAAUACUAAAUUUCUCUUAAAAUAAGCAGGCCCAAAUGGAAAAUAUCUUUGGCAAAAUUUUCCACAAAACUAUUUUGUUACAUUAAUUUAUAAGGUCCGCCUACCGUGCAACAGUUACACGGUACCACUGAAUUUUGUCUUUUUCAAACAAUUACACUACAUUACCCAAUAUUUUUAAGAAAACUGAAUAGAUACUAUAAGUUACAAAUUUUUAUAUAUAGGUCAUUUUCUCUGGAUAAAAUUAUAAAAUGACUUUUGAAAAAAAAAUUAACUGUUAUUAUUAGUAUUAUUUAUUAAUGUCAUUAUUAUUAUUAUUAUUAUCAUUAUUAAAAUUUAUUAUUUUAAUUGUUAUGAUUGCUUUAAUUAGUUAUCAUUAUUAUUAUUAUUUAUUGAUUUUAUUACCGUCACUAUUUUUAAAAUAUAUUAAAUUUAUUACUGAAUUAUUAUUGAAUUAUUAUUUUAUUAAUAUUAAUAAAUUUAUUAAUCUUAUUAUUCUAAUUAUUAUAUUUAUAUUAAUGUUGUCGUCGUCAUCAUCAUUAAACUUUAUAAUUUUUUUUUUGUUUUGACUAUUAAAUAAUACCACUGUCAUUAUUAUUAUUUUGCCUUAAUUAAGCAUUACAUAUAUUUUAAUUAUUUUUUUUAUUUUUAUUAAUUAUAAUAAAAAUAAAAAAAUAAAUUAUACUAUAAUAUUAUUUUAUUAUAUCAUAUUAUAUUUAUGUAAAAAUAAUUAUGCAAAUAAUAAUUUAAUAUAAUUAAUAAUAAAUUUAAAAAAAUUUAGUUUAAUAUUAGUACAAAAUUAAUGCAGUACAGGAUAAUACCAAUUACCAAAUGUUGUAUAAUUUUAUUAUAAUUAUUAUAAUAUACUGCUAAUGUAAUAUAAUAUAAUAUAAUACAUGUACAUUACAUAAUACAAUGCAAUAUAAUAUAAUAUAGUGUGCCAAACGGACCUUUAACUUUUUUAGUGAUGAUGGUUUAGAGGGAUGUAGAGAAAGUAAAAAUAAUCAUGGUAGAUCUUUUACAAUGGUUGAUUAGCUAUUAUCACAAAGUUUAGGCUAAUACAAUAAAAAUUAACCAACUAUCCUAUAUUUAAAAGAGCAUUUGGAAAUCAAUAAAUUUAUUAUUCAAUUAUUUUUAAUCAGGAAUAAAUAAUAAAUUAUCAUUACAACAAGAUUGACAAGCUCAAAUAUCUUAAAAAAUGAUAAUCCUCAAGAAAUAUGAAGCUCAAAUGCUCUUGAAAUAUUCUUUAAAAAAAAAACUAACUUCCUUUCAUAUUAUUCUUUAUUUAUCUUUCUAUAACUUUGUUGGGCUAUAUAUAUAUUGAUAUUUUAUAGGUAAAUUAACAUAUUGUAUGUAUAAAUAAACUAACAUAUCAACUAAUGCUAAAAACAAAAAUGUAAUAAAAAAGUAAAGUUUUGUAAUAUUAAAAUAAUAAAAUUUUACAACCUAAGACUUAUUUAUUUAUUUUACAUUAAAUAUAUAUUAAAUAACAAAAAAUAUUAUUUACAUUUAUCAAAUUUUCAUGUGUUUAAAAAUUUUAUGUGAUAUUACAUUAUUAUAUUUACACCAUCAAUUAUUUUUAUGAUCAAAUUAAGUCAAUAGAUCAAACUUUAAAAAAUUUAAAACAACAGAAAUUAUGUAAGUGAAUACUUAAAACUUUUAACUUUUAUAAUUUUGUAGUAAAUAAUAGGAACUUAAGUGUUAAUAACUAAUUGAACACAUCCUAACUGUUGAACACUUUAGCUAUUGAUCCAUUGGCUGAGUUGAAAAAAGAUAAAAAGUGGGGUACCGUGCAACUGUUGCACGGUAGGCGGACCCUAAUUUGUAAUCUAUUUUCGCAUCUAUCAACUCAAAAUAUGGCACUAAAAAUUAAAAGUGGGUCUGAACAUGGACCCAAAUAAGUUAAAUAAACGAAUAUACAUUAUAACUUAGGACACUUGGGAUCAUUAUAGCAAUUGCUUACUGAAAACGUUUAGAAAAUUUUAAGACGAUGGACCAUUUUAAUUGCCUGACACUGGAAAUUGCUAUUAUCACGUGAUGGUAAAGUUACAGGAACGGAAUUUUUGUAAAGUACAAAUGUAACGUACUGUCAUAACCGGCAAUGCCAAAUUUGAAAUAUUUAUAAGUUUUCAAGAGGUUAUCAGAUGACAUUGUAAAUGAUUGUGAUGGCUUUUUUACAAUUUCAAGUUAAAAUGAAAUUUUGGAUGUUAUCUAAUUGUUUUCUUCAUCAUUUCACUGUUACAUAAUUGUCAAUGAUUGUGAUGGCUAAUUUACAAUUUCAAGUUAAAAUGAAAUUUUGGGUGUUAUCUAAUUGUUUUCUUCUUCAUUUCACUGUUACAGAAUGAUUUGAACAAAGACUACGAGUUCGUUAUAUCAAUUUGAACUAAACUUUGUAAGUAUAACACUAAGAAUUUUUCGUGUGCCACAAUUUGCGCAACUAAUUGAGGGGUGGACUAGAUUAGUUUUGACAGCUAGAAUAUAAUUUGACUGACUUUACGAUAUACAAAAAUAUUGAUCACAAUUCUUCAUCAUUCGGUGCCAACGUUUACAUUUUUCGAAAGUAUACAUUGAACAAUAAUAGCGUAUAAUUUGAUUCACUGUAUCUAUAUACUUGAAAUAGACUAUUCAUGCGGCUUGUCAUUUUUAUUAGAAUCACACUACGUUACAUUAAACGUAACGUACACACACUCACAGCAACAGUAACAGGUCUCAUUUUGUUACUGUUACUGUGAGUGUGUGUAUGUUACAUUUAUAUAGCACUCGCCUUUUUAUUAACGUCUAACUUCUUCAAUUCAAUGUUAAAUCACUAUCAAUCAUAAAAUAUUAUUAUUUUACAUUUUGUGAAAUAGAGACCUCACAUUAGAGCCAAGGGUAAAGCUAUGGUACCACAACUAGAUCCAACCAUUAGAUCAAGCCCACAGUUGUCACUAGAACUGGAUCCAAUGGCUGGGUCCAGCUAUAGUACUAUAUAACUGUGGCACCCUAGCUGGACCCUAGAGCCAAACUGCAUAACGUCCAUAAAUUUUCAUUCAUAUCUCUUCAAUUUUUCAAAAUUUUCAUGUACAGAUCAAGUCAAGGUAAGUCUAUUGGAACCGUAUUCUACACGAACGAAAAGUAGGCACAAAUUAUUAAAUGUCCAUAAAUUUUCAUUCAUAUCUCUUCAAUUUUUCAAAUUUUUCAUCUACAAGUCCAAGUCAAGGUAAGUCUAUAGGAACCGUAUUCUACACAAACGAAAAGUAGGCACAAAUUAUUAAAUUAUCACAGGAAAAAGAGGUAAAAUACUUGUUUACUACCUUAUAUUUUGAGUUAAAUGUCCAUUUAAUUUUUAUAUUUUAAAAAAUAAUAUAGGAUAUUUUUGUCAUUAAUUAUGUUACAGAUUUACAGUUAAAAGUUACUUUAUCUUUGUUUUACAAUAAUAUUCUGCAAAUAUUGAAUAAUAUAAGAUAUAGGCUCAAGCAACAAUCUAUUGAAAAAAAUAAACGUUAAUUUUUUAUCUUUUUUAAAGUUAAUUUGUUAAAUUAACCUUUUUUUUUCAUUUCAUUAAUGUUCACGGAAUUGUUGUUUUGGUCCACAUACCCUGUUAGUCAACAUCGCAACAUUGCAAGGGUAUUAUUGUAAGAAUAAAAAAAUAAUAAAAUGUGACAUAAAUAAUGACAAGAAUAUCUUGGAGUAUUGUCUAAAGCAUAUAUUUAAUCCAAAAUAUAGGGACUGGAUUUAAACAUAAGAGCUCUAUAAAACCCUUGCUCUAUGAAUCAAUUUUGCACAUCACAACUUCUCUUUUUGCUGAGCUUAAAAAAAUUCCUCUCAAAAUGGCUCUGUUCAAUCUUAAUAAAGAUUCACCAACCUUUCUUUUGUUUGCAAUUUUCACAUUGGCUAUUCCCACAAUUGUAUUGUCUCAAGUGGCCAACCUUGUGACACCAGAAUUCUUUGAUGGGAUAAAGAACGUAGCCGAUCCAAGCUGUGCAGGCAAGAGUUUCUAUACAAGAAAUGCUUUUCUUAAUGCUGCCAAUUCAUAUCCUGAAUUUGGAUCUGGUUCUGCUGAUGAAUCUAAGCGUGAAAUCGCGGCAUUUUUCGCUCAUGUCACUCAUGAAACUGGACGUAAGACUUCUGUCCUUGCCUUAUUCAUUUUGCCCUUAUUCUUUGGUAGUCCACAGGGGUAUGAUAAAUUUUGUGCGUUCUAACAUGCAAGAAUUGAAUCUUAAACUCACUCGAGAACCUCUCUUCGUCGAGGGAAUAAUUUCACAUUGGCUGAGAAUAGUGCUUACUUUAUAAUAAGUUUGAGAUGAUCCACUGCUUUUAAACUAAUUAAUUUUUUUUUAUCCAAAAUAUUUAUGUUUCAACUAGGAUGAGGUUUUUCUCCUAUUCCAAGACCGGUGGCGUUGGGUUGGAAGGAGAUGAGGGGGGAGAUGAAAGUAAUUUGAAUUUAUUUUUCAUUUCAGUUGUUUGGUUGGUUAUAAUCUAUAAGAAUUUAAUCUCUAUUAAAAUUUAAUAUCUAUCAUAAUGUUAAAUUUGGAUUCCACACCAACGAAUGAAGAAUUCAAAAUCCUCCUCUACUGGAAACCAAAACUUCCAACUAGCCCUUCAAUCUUCAUGAACUUGUUUAAUGUUAUGAGUAAUUAUUAUUUAUAAUUCUGUUUUUAUCAGCUUAAUAUUAUAUAUAAUUAAUUUUAUAUGAAAUAAAGUUAAAAGUACCAAUUUAAACAACUUAAUAAAUAACUUUAUUUAUUUAAUUAAUUUAAAAAAAAUAAAGAUAAAUUUUUUAAAAAUGAUUAGAUUGUCACCGCUCUGCUACCAAAACUGGAGCAUGGAAUGUUGCCAUCGGUACCAAUUGGACUCGGCAAUCAAUGAACAAAGUCACUCAAAAAUAGGAUGAAUUUUGUUCAAAUCCAGUUGAAAAGGUUUGAAAACCUUUUGGUUUCCAUAGAUCCGAACAAAUAUCAAAUUUUUUGACCAUAUAAAUUAAUCCGCUAUAGAGAUUGUCGAUUUCUAACCAUUUUGGGUUUUUAAGUAAAAUUUUAUAAAAUUACAAUAUAUUGAAUGAGAAAUUAUUUCUAUUAUCUUAUAAUUUUUUUAAAAAUAAAAUUAUGCUUUAUAAAAAAUUUAAAAUAUAUAAAUACAGGUAUAAAAAUUAAAAUAAGUUUUAUUACUUAUUUUACAUAAUAUAUUAAAUAAACUGUUUAAUUUUUUGAAUUAUAUUACUUAUAACAAAUAUUGAAAUUUUAAAACUAAAGGAUAAAACUGUCCAAAUAAAAAAAUGAAUUUCUCUUCUUUGAAAAAUUAUGUAACAAACUAAAUAUUAAAAAGAAUUCUACUCCUCUCCUCUCCUUUUUCUCUUGUUUCCUCCACUUUCCUCUGCUCUCAUUUCCCCACCUUCCUUCAAACCAAACAACACUUUAGUGUGCAUUAUUAUUUAUGUGUAGUCAAGAUUUCUUUUUUAAUUAUUAUUUUAUUUUUUUAGCAGGAACCAAUCAGUAACUUAUAUGUUUCUAACGCUGAUAGACAAUGUUAAGAAAAAAAAAUGAUUCUGACUCUUAAAACAUAAUCUUGAUUUUUUUGUGUUAUAAUUUGAUAAAUAAAAAUUUAAUAAUUGCCACUUUAAAACAUCAAAGCAUUUCCAAGUCUAUAGAAAAUGACCUAGCUAAAACUAAUAACAAUGAAGAUGUUAUUAUUAUUAUUAUUAUUAUUAUUAUUAUUAUUAUUAUUAUUAUUAUUAUUAUUAUUAUUAUAUCGGAUUCGACGGUCUAAACUCACCGGAAACGGUGGCCAAUGACCCAGUUAUAUCUUUCAAGACUGCCUUGUGGUUUUGGAUGACCAAUGUGCACUCUGUUGUAAACCAAGGCUUUGGGGCAACCAUUCAGAGAAUCAAUGGUGCUCUUGAAUGUGGUGGCAAGCAGCCCGAUAAAGUUCAAGCUCGUAUCGGAUAUUACUGCUGUACCGUACAUCCGGUCUUGUUAAUUAAAAUACGCUUUGCGUGCAUGAACAAAAAUGCAUGUAGUACUUACUACAAGACUAUUAGAAUAAAGAGUUGUUUCAAACAACUUGUUUACUUCCACUGUGGUGGCUUUUAUACGCACUCAGAAUGAAAUAAAGAGUGCAUGUUACAUUAUUUUGUAACUUGAUAAGGUCCAAAUAAAUAUCAGUUUGUGUACGUAAUUAUAGAAAUAUUAUUUGCCUUUCUAUCUUUCUUUGAUUUUUUCUUUAAUUAUUAGCUGUAUAAGGCCUGUACUGUAAUUUUGUGUUUUAAGUAGCCAAAACAUUGCAUUCUCUUUGCAGCUUGAGUCAUGACUCUUCCCACGACUCAUGAUAAAAAGGGACAAUUGGCUAGCUACCUCAACCACAUAAAAAUAAUUAUAAGAUGGGAGAUUGGCUUCCCCCUUAAAAGAUUUUCAGUUUCACCAUUUAUCUCCUUACAUUUCUCAUAAUAUCGUAUUACUCUCUUAAUUACAAAUUUUAAUUUAAAAAAAUCAGGUGGCUUAUGGCCAAGAUAAGUUUUCCUGUGAACGUUUUCGGCAUCAAGAUGAGGGUGAUGAAGUAAUAUAAAAACUGUAGGGAUUACGUGGUAAAAUUGAAAAAUUAUAGGGGUUCAAGUGUUAUUGUUCUAUGAAGAAUAACUAAGAUUAUGGUUUGUUGAUACGCAUGAUAAAAUUUAAAUACAAAUGGUAAAUAAAAAAUAAAGUAUAAUUCUCAUACAGUCAAAUAGUUAAAAGUUACGACGACAUUCACUAUGCGGGUUAAUAACUGAAUAUUAGACUUGUCAACCCUUCGAGAUAAACUAUUACCCCAAAAAAAAAAGAUAAAUAUUAGACUUUCAACCCGAAGCCAAAAGUUAAAGCUUUUAGAGGAGUGCUAGCAACAGUCGCUUAUGCGAGCGACUGUUGCACUCGCUGCUUCCUUGGAUGACAUGUGUCUUAGAGUGUGAACAAAUGUGUCAGUUCCUUAAAUUAGAAAAGCACUCAUAUUUUGUUUUUUACACCGUCCACGGUCCACUUAAGCUACAAAAUUACAACGCUACCAUUGUCUUCUUAUCAAUCACGGUUACGCUGGUUAAUGACCACAACAGCUCAUCAACUUUGGUUCGUUGAUUGAAUUAUGCUUCCAUCUUUUGCAGUUUUUUUUUUCAUUUUUUUAAUUAAUUAUUACACUUAUUAGUUUUCACCAAAAAAAAUUCCUCUAAAUUAUAUCAAAUUCUGACCAAAGCCCCAAUCCACAUUCUUUUUGCCAUUAUUUUCAUUAAAGCAUUUAACAAUUUAAAUUUUUUAAAAUAAGAUAAAAUUAUUAUAAGAUUAUGAUAUGUCUAAAAAUUUAUUUAAUAUUAUAGAGGUGGAUAAAUUUUACUGGACGAGAAUGUAUUUCUACAAUUAUUUUGUAACUCUCUUUAAAACACUGUUAAGAGAGAGAUUAUGUUUAAUGCAAAAGAGACUUACUUUUUAUUCCAUGUAUAAAAUUAGAGAAAAAGCAUGUGAAAGAAGAAAAUUUUGAGGAACUAAAUGAUAAGGACAAUCACUAUCAUUUUCUUUUAAACUAAUACUCUCCUUAUCAUUUAGUCUCUCAAAAAUUUCUUCUAUUACUUGCUAUUUCUAUAUUUUUAUAUAUGAAAGAAAAGUAAGUCUCUUUUGAAUUAAAUACAAUCUUGCAAAAUCUAUCCCUAAUUAAUUAUUGUUAGGACCUUUGUAAUAUUAAAUAAAUUUAUCGACAUAUCAUAAUUUUAUAAUAAUUUUAUCUUAUUUUAAAAAAUUUAAAUUUUUAAAUGCUUUAAUGAAAAUAAUGGUUAAAAAAAGAAUGAAGGUUGGGGCUUUGGUCAGAAUUUGAGAUAAUUUAUAAUUUUUUUUUUGUGAAAACUAAUCAGUGUAAAACUAAUGAACAAAAAAAUGAAAAACAAAAACUACAAAAGAUAGAAGGAUAAGUCAAUCAACGAACCAAAGUUGAUGUCUUGAUGAGCUGUUGUGGUCACCAGCGUAGUUGUGAAUGCUAACCUAAGAAGACAAGGGUAGUGUUGUAAUUUUCGUAGCUCAAGUGGAGGAUGUAAAAAAAUAAAAUAUGAGUGCUUUUCUAAUUUAAUGAACUGACACAUUUGUUCAUAGUCUAAAACACGUGUCGUCCAGAGGAGCAGUGAGUGCAACAGUCGCUCGCAUAAGCAACUGUUGCUAGUGAAAGAAUUCUUAAGAUCGAAGAAAGAUGAGAGAAGCUGAAUCUAACUGUUUUAUUAAGCUCAAAUUGUGAAAUUACAAUGAGUUGGUUUAUAUAGCUGCUUAGUUCAGCAUCCAGCUUAUUCAUGAAUUUUACAAACACACAAAAUGCAUGUUAAGAGGAAUCUCUGUAUAGCUAUUUUGCCAACUGGAAUCUUCUGGCUUGUCACGUGUGAUCCUCAAUCCAUUUCUCGUGUGAGUAACAUCCUUGGUCAGCAAGUAUGCUCCAGCCAAUACUCCCACAUGACUUGAUUCAAGUUCAGCUUCAUUCAAUAUUUCAACAGCUAGCACUCCUCAAGCUUUUAUAUUUCGUUAUUGAGCAAGAUUUAUUGACAAGUCAAGUUAAAUUCAUAUAACCAUGCCACGUUUACUCGCUCGACAAUAGAUCCGUAGUCAACACGGAGGACAAGAAAAGGAAAUCGGAUUCGAAAAUGAUAAUGAUUUUGACACUACACUCUGUUUCUUUGAGCUCCAGCUAACCAAAUUAUCACCUAAGUAGAUGCAAUAACCACUGGUAGAUCUUCUGUCAUCAGGAUCACUACCCCAAUCAGCAUCGGAAUAAGCUAUCAAAUCUAAAGAGUCUAACUUCCUGAAACUUAAGCCAUAGUCAAUAGUUUCUUUCAAAUACCUUAGGACUCAUUUGCAAGCUAACCAAUGAGGCUGCAGAGGACUUGCCAUAAAUUGACUUAGCUUAUUCACUGUAUAAGCAAUCUCUGGCCUGGUAAGUACAGCAUAUUGAAGUCCACCAAUGGCGCUUCUAUACUGAGUAGGAUCAGAGUAUUUUUUUCCCAUAAACUUACUCAACUUAUCAGGUUUUGCAAGUGGAGUAUCAGCUCCAUUACAGUUCUGUAGAUCAAACUUUGCAAGUAACUCAUUUAGAUAUUUGGUUUGAGAUAGCACUAGAGUGUUUUCAUUUCUUGUUACCUCAAUACCAAGAAAGAAAUUUAACUGUCCCAAAUCCUUGAGAGCAAAAGUACUACUUAGGUCCUGAACUAGUUGUUCAAUCUCAAUGUUAUUGCUUCCAGUGACUAUAAUAUCAUCAACAUAGAUCAGUAGAAUAACCACAUCAUUUCCAUUCUGUUUGAAGAACAAAGAUGUGUCUGAUUUUGCUCUACAAAAAUUCCAUGAUUCCAGCACUGAUUUCAGUUUGUUAAACCAAGCUCUAGGAGCUUGUUUCAGCCCAUAGAGAGCUUUCUUUAACUUGCAGAUAUGCCUUGGAUAAUCUAGAUUUACAAACCCUUCUGGUUGAGGCAUGUACACAGUUUCAGUCAGCUCCCCAUUUAGAAAGGCAUUAUUGAUGUCAACUUGUCUUAGUUUCCAGUCAUGUACAACAGCAAGGUUUAGAACAAUCCUUAUGGUUGCAGCCUUAACUACUGGACUAAAGGUUUCCUGAUAAUCCAUUCCUUCAGUUUGUAGAUAACCCUUUGCCACUAGCCUGGCUUUGUAUCUGCUUAUUGACCCAUCAGAAUUUUGCUUAACUCUAAAAAUCCACUUGUUUCGCACCAACUUUAUAUUUUGUUCUGGGGGAACUAAGCACAAAGUCUGAUUGUUUAUUAAAGCAUUGAAUUCAUCUUGCAUAGCUAGUUUCCAGUUUUGAUCAUUCAAAGCUUCAGUACCACUUGAGGGUGUGUCUAGAGAUAAGGCUUUUUCUGUAUUGAAAACUUUAGGUUUAAAAAUUCCAGCUUUAGCUCUGGUUAUCAUGGGAUGUGAGGGUUUUAGUUGAGGUGUGACUUGAGGCAUUUCAGAAGUUUGAUUUUGGAGAUGAUUGUUUCCAGAAGUGACAGAACAGUUUGAAGGGUUUUGAGUGUCAGAUUGUGUAUUUGAAACAUUGUUGAGCACUGAACAAGUGAUCUCAUUAUUGUUAUCAGAAUUCAGAUCAUUAAGAGGAGUAAUUUCCAGAUUUUGACUGUCAGAUGGAUUUACACCAACUGUUGUUGCCUCAUGACUGUGACUCUCAGAAGGAAAAGACACAGUGAGGAAUUUACUAAAGGUGUUUGUGAGUUUAACUAACUGUUUUGGUUCAGUACACAUGAACUCUGGAUCUGUUUGGAAAGGGAAAGAACUUUCAUUGAAAUUUACAUGUGCUACAAUGUAUAUCCUUCCACUUGAGCUAAGACACAUGUAACCUUUAUGUGAAUGACUAAACCCCAAAUUUACACACUUUGAAUUGUGAAAGCUGAACUUAUGACUAUUAUAAGGUCUUAGAAACGGAUAAUACUCACAGCCAAAAAUCUUUAUAAUGGAAUAAUUUGGUUUCUUUGAAUAAAGAAAUUCAAAAUGUGUUUUUUCAUUGAGGACGGGUGUACUGAUUCUGUUUAUAAGAUAGGCUGCAUUUGAGAAGGCUUCCCACCAGAACUUUAAAGGUAAGUUGGCUUGAGAAAGAAGAGUCAAACCAAAUUCUACAAUAUGUCUAUAUUUCCUUUCAGCCUUUCCAUUUUGGUGGUGAGUGUAUGGACAAGAAUAUCUUAAGGAUAUUCCUUCAUGUUUAAGAUAGGUUUCAAAGGCUUUGUAUUCACCCCCCAUAUCACAUUGUAAGGCUUUUAUUUUUAGCUCAAGGCUUUUUUCAAUCUGGUUUUUAAAAGUGAUAAAUGUUGUAAGUGCUUGAGACUUUUGUGUUAAACCAUAAAUCCAGGUGUAGCUUGUUUUAUCAUCAAUGAAAGCUAUGUAAUAUCUAAACCCUUGAUUUGAAAUUGUAGGAGCAGGACCCUAGAGGUCACUGUGAAUAAUUUCCAGAGCAUGUUUUGUUUUUGUUUCACUGCUUUUGAAUGACAAUCUAUGUUGUUUUCCAUAUUAACAUGCUUUGCAGAAAGACAAAUCAAACUUAUUAUUUCCGCGAGAAAUGUUACAAGCUGACAAAGUUUUCCUAAGUGCAACAACAUUAGGAUGACCUAAUCUCAAGUGCCACAGGUCUAGCACUUUGCUACUUGUACAUUUUUCACUACAAUUUACUGAAAGCAUAGACUCUGGUUUGUGAUCUUUAUUUACUAAGAAUAGGCUUGAACUGAUAGAAGAUGAUGAUAGAACAGACUUGGCUUGACUGGAAUUAAAAGGCAAACACAGCAGCUUGUACAAUCCAUCUUUAGUCAUUCCUCUCAUAAGAACACUCCCCUUUCUCUUGUCCUUAACAGUACAAAAUGAUUCAUUGAAUUCAAUAUAAACAUCAUUAUCAUGUAAAAGUUUUGAGACACUGAUCAAAUUCUUGGUUAUUUCAGGAACAUGAAGUGUGUGAUUGAGUUUAAUACGAGGUAAGGUGUGUGGUUCAAGUGUACUGAGCAAUGAAUGACCAAUAGAAACUAUUUUAAGUUUAGCUCCAUUACCUACUGCAAGCUUAUCACUCCCUUUAUAUUCUGAGCUGAUGUUGAGAUUGUUGAAGUCAUUUGAGAUGUGGUUUGUUGCUCCACUGUCGAGAUACCAUGCACCAUCUCUGUUUCCUUCAUUUUCAGCUACAUAAGCACUUCUUCGAUUUGGCAUUUGAUUUAGUACACAAUUCUUUUUGAACCUGUACCGGCAGUGAGCAGCAGUGUGAUUCUUCCUGAAGCAGAUGCAUUUGAGCUUUGAUUAAAGUUUCCUCCACCAAACUGCCUUGCAUUUGAGUUUCCAGGCUGUCUUCCACCAUAGCUGUUGUUAUUUCCAUUGAAGUUGAAAUUUCCUUGCCAGUUUCUUCUCUGAUUUCCUCUCUGAUAGGCUAGGUUAGCUUGAUAGUCCAUGUGACUAACAUAAUGUUGAUGUUCAAUCAUAUUUUCAUGACUCAGCAGCAUUCCAUACACUUCAGAAGGCAUAGUGCUUUCAGGCCUAGCAUUGAUUGUAGUAACAAUUGAGUCAUACUCAUGACCUAAGCCAGCAAGCAAGCAGAGUAUAAAAUCGUCAUCGCUCAUGUUGUUGCCAGCUGCUCUUAAUGCAUCUAAAGUAGUUUUCAUUCUUGUAUAGUACUCAUGCACUGUCAUUGAUCCCUUCCUUGUGGUUUGAAUCUGAGUUCUUAAGUGCAGAACUUUGGAUCUGGAUCUUGCUCCAAACUGAGUAGCAAGGAUCUGCCAUACAUCCAGUGAGGAUCUUGCUCCAACAACAGCACUCAAAACUUCUUCACUCAAGGUUGAAAGUAACCAGCUCAUGAGUUGUUGAUCAUUCCUCCUCCAGAUCUGGAACUGUGGAUUUGGUGAAGUAAUCACAGUCUGAUCACUGUCAAUGUUGAUCAUCAUGCGAUUUGGUGGAGUCUUUGAGCUGUCAAUCAGAUCUUCUAGAUCAUUUGCGUUGAUAGUUGCUACAACUUGAGAACGCCAUAGCAGGUAGUUGUUAUUAGUGAGCUUAAUAGGAGUAUUAAACACAAGCGAGCUGAGAACAGAGGUACUGAUGUUCGAGACUUGAUUUGAGUUUGUAGUUGAGCUUGAAGUUCCAUUGCUGUUUUGAUUCUCAUUGUUCACCAUUAUUGCUUCUCGUCUAGCUCUGAUACCAUGAAAGAAUUCUUAAGAUCGAAGAAAGAUGAGAGAAGCUGAAUCUAACUGUUUUAUUAAGCUCAAAUUGUGAAAUUACAAUGAGCUGGUUUAUAUAGCUGCUUAGUUCAGCAUCCAGCAUAUUCAUGAAUUUUACAAACACACAAAAUGCAUGUUAAGAGGAAUCUCUGUAUAGCUAUUUUGCCAACUGGAAUCUUCUGGCUUGUCACGUGUGAUCCUCAAUCCAUUUCUCGUGUGAGUAACAUCCUUGGUCAGCAAGUAUGCUCCAGCCAAUACUCCCACAUGACUUGAUUCAAGUUCAGCUUCAUUCAAUAUUUCAACAGCUAGCACUCCUCAAGCUUUUAUAUUUCGUUAUUGAGCAAGAUUUAUUGACAAGUCAAGUUAAAUUCAUAUAACCAUGCCACGUUUACUCGCUCGACAAUAGAUCCGUAGUCAACACGGAGGACAAGAAAAGGAAAUCGGAUUCGAAAAUGAUCACAGGUUAGACAUGAAUAAACUACAUAAAAUCCCAUAACACUUUCAAUUACAUUUCACACAAUAGAAAAUUUUCAAUUUCUCCUCACGUUUAACCAAAACUUUUCUCCCAAAAUGGCCCUGCUUAAUCUUCUCCUGAGGUUAUUUCUACUUGCCUUAGCCAAUAUUCCCAGGAACGUAGUGUGUCAAAACUCCGUUGCCGAUCUCGUGACGCCGGAAUUUUUUGACGGGAUUAAGAAUCAGGCUCCAGCAACUUGUGAAGGGAAAGGGUUCUAUACAAGAGAUGCAUUUAUUACUGCUCUCAAUUCAUAUCCUGAAUUUGGUAGAACUGAUACUAAGCGUGAAGUUGCCGCAUUUUUUGCCCAUGUCACUCAUGAAACAACAGGUAAGUUCUCCGUCUCAUUGUGCUUCAAUUCUUGGAAUUUGAGUACCAUUAGUUCAGGUAACUUAUCUCUAGGGAACUGGCCAAGUGUUUUCAAGUAAUCCUAUGUAGUUAGUCAACAAGAGAACGGUUGAUUGUUGCAUAUUUUGUUUUUGGUUGGAAAUUUUUCGUUAGAUUUACGACUUACACCGUGAAAUAUCUCUGACCCCUCAAUAAUAAUAAUAAUAAUGAAGAGUCUAAAAAUAAAGGAGUCGAGCUAAUUAAAAGGCAAAAUACCUGUUACAUUUCUCUUGCAGAUUUUUGCUACAUAGAAGAGAAGGAUAAAACAGAUCCUCAUUGUACACCGACUCCUCAAUAUCCAUGUGCCAAUGGUAAAUUCUACUAUGGCCGGGGACCGAUUCAGCUCACCGGAAACGGAAACUACAUAGAUGCCGGAAGGGCCAUCGGUUUCGACGGUCUGAACUCUCCGGAAACGGUGGCCAGGGACCGUGUCAUAUCUUUCAAGACUGCUUUGUGGUAUUGGAUGAGAUACGUGCACUCAGCACUAAACCAAGGUUUUGGUGAAACAAUUCGGAAAAUUAAUGGUCCAGCUGAAUGCGGCGGCCAAAACCGUGCACAAGUUCAGGAUCGCGUUAGGCGUUACACUGAUUAUUGCAAAAGAUUUGGUGU
rnacentral:lncRNA from 1 species